UUCCUUAACCAGGCCUUCCCUACAUGUUCCCUUAGCAGAAGAGAACAAGUUUUGACGUUGUGAUACGCUCAAGGGCACUGAAAAGAACCAUGUUCAGAUUUGAAUUUACCUAUUCUAGCAACGUUGUUGUUCUGGACAAAAUCCAUUUGAUGCUUCUUUUGAACACUCGCUUGUCAGUAGUCACUACCAUAAGGUAAGACGAGCUAAUGGUAGGAGCUAUCAGGUAUCCGGUCCCAGUAGCAUAAGGUAAGCUCUACUAAAACCCGGCCUGCGUGGGAAAGACAGCUCCCGCGGUAUUUUUAAAAGGCAAGAAACUCCCCAAAAUGCUGCGCAUGGGCGCUCAAUCUCAGACAGAAUAAUAAGCCAAGACGGAGAAACUAGUACUGCUAAAUUUAAAUUUAUUAGUACUACAAGUUCAUCUUGUGAUAUUUAAAUUCUCUGUUCUAGCAACGUUGUUGUUGGGGUCAAAAUUCAUUUGCUGCUUCUUUUGAACACUUGCUUCUCAGUAGCAUAAGAUAAGCCUGAAUGGUAGGAGCUAUCAGGCACCCGUUCUCGGUAGCAUAAGGUAAGCUCUAAUAAAACUCGGCCUGCGCGGGAAAGACAGCUCCUACGGUAUUUUUACAAGGCAAGAAACCCCCAGAACGCGGCAUGUGGCUGCUCAACCUCACACGGGGAGCGGAUGCUGUGCGUGUCAGCGAGGGGGAUUUUUUAUGUAAGACCCAGAAUUUAGCAGCGUUAGAUUCGGGGUAAAAAAUCCAUUUGCUGCUUCUUUUUAACACUCGUUUCUCAGUAGCAUAAGGUAAGCAGUAAUUGUAUGAGCUAUCAGGCACCCGUUCUCAGUACCAUAACGUAAACUCUAAUAAAACUCGUUUUGGGCGGGAAAGAUAGUCCCGCGUUUUUUCUAAAGGCAAGAAACCCCAAGAACGCGGCACGUGCCUGCUCAUCCUCACGCGUGGAGCUGACGCUGCACAUGCCAGUGAGGGGGAUUUUUUUUAUGCGAGACCCAGGCUUUGUACAUGGGUCGACCACCCCACUAUAGGAGGCGUUACCACCGCGCUAUCAACAUGUGUGUUGAUGCAAGCGCUAAUGGUAGGAGCUAUCGAGUAACCCAUUGUCCAAGUUACCAAGUCACAAAUACUCUUAACUGCAAUCACACUGUGCGAAAAUCAUAUGGGAAAAUAACUCUGACCAAAUAUGCUAAUGCGAUAUACAUUAUAUGGCAGACAAAGAAAACAACCUCAGAUAAAGAAGGUAAUGCUGAAUUUCUACCAUUCUUUAUGAUGUAGGACAACAAAGUUAGAAAAUAUACAUUAGCCAAUUUACUAUAUCGGGGAUUAACUGUGAUGUAUUUCCAUUGAGCCAGGCACUAUUAGAGCUGCCUGUUGCUCUUCUGAAGCUAUCUCGUUUUUUUUUAAACAGAGGCACGCUAGAGCUGCCUGUUACUUUUCUGAAGCUAUCUCAGAUUUCAGGGUUCUGCAAGGUAGGAAAGCGAGUCCUGAAAUGGGCCACG